rnacentral:tRNA from 1 species
CGCGCUGCGGGUGCCGGCGGGCAGCGCCCGCUCGUUCGAGGCGGGCGAGGCGGGGCUCGAGUUCCUCGCGUUCGGCACGCACACCGAGG